AUUAAGAUGUCUGAAAAAAGUGGUAGACUGUAAAUUUGCUUAUGGGGUUUUACCCCUCUUAAUA
rnacentral:tRNA from 1 species